rnacentral:rRNA from 1 species
CUACGGGCCGCUGCAGUGGGGAAUAUUGCACAAUGGGCGCAAGCCUGAUGCAGCAACGCCGCGUGAGGGAUGAAGGCCUUCGGGUUGUAAACCUCUUUUAGCAGGGAAGAAGCGAAAGUGACGGUACCUGCAGAAAAAGCACCGGCUAACUACGUGCCAGCAGCCGCGGUAAUACGUAGGGUGCAAGCGUUGUCCGGAAUUAUUGGGCGUAAAGAGCUCGUAGGCGGUUUGUCACGUCUGCUGUGAAAAUCCAAGGCUCAACCUUGGACUUGCAGUGGGUACGGGCAGGCUAGAGUGCGGUAGGGGAGAUGGGAAUUCCUGGUGUAGCGGUGGAAUGCGCAGAUAUCAGGAGGAACACCAAUGGCGAAGGCACAUCUCUGGGCUGUAACUGACGCUGAGGAGCGAAAGCGUGGGGAGCGAACAGGAUUAGAUACCCGGGUAGUC